rnacentral:rRNA from 1 species
CCCCUAGAUGUUCUGGGCCGCACGCGCGCUACACUGAACAGUUCAACAAGUCUUAACCUUGGCCGAUAGGUCUGGGUAAUCUUUGAACGCUGUUCGUGAUUGGGAUAGACCUUUGCAAUUAUGGGUCUUCAACGAGGAAUUCCUAGUAAACGCAAGUCAUCAGCUUGCAUUGAUUACGUCCCUGCCCUUUGUACACACCGCCCGUCGCACCUACCGAUUGAAUGGUCCGGUGAAAUCUCGGGACGGCGGCUUGGUCGCUUGCGUCCGACUGCUGAAACUUGAUUAAACCACAUCAUUUAGAGGAAGGUGAANUCGUANCA